rnacentral:rRNA from 1 species
AGAGUUUGAUCCUGGCUCAGAUUGAACGCUGGCGGCAUGCUUUACACAUGCAAGUCGAACGGCAGCGCGGGGCAACCUGGCGGCGAGUGGCGAACGGGUGAGUAAUAUAUCGGAACGUACCCAAGAGUGGGGGAUAACGUAGCGAAAGUUACGCUAAUACCGCAUACGAUCUAUGGAUGAAAGCAGGGGACCGCAAGGCCUUGUGCUCCUGGAGCGGCCGAUAUCUGAUUAGCUAGUUGGUAGGGUAAAGGCCUACCAAGGCGACGAUCAGUAGCUGGUCUGAGAGGACGACCAGCCACACUGGAACUGAGACACGGUCCAGACUCCUACGGGAGGCAGCAGUGGGGAAUUUUGGACAAUGGGCGCAAGCCUGAUCCAGCAAUGCCGCGUGAGUGAAGAAGGCCUUCGGGUUGUAAAGCUCUUUUGUCAGGGAAGAAACGGUGGGGGCUAAUAUCCUCCACUAAUGACGGUACCUGAAGAAUAAGCACCGGCUAACUACGUGCCAGCAGCCGCGGUAAUACGUAGGGUGCAAGCGUCAAUCGGAAUUACUGGGCGUAAAGCGUGCGCAGGCGGUUUUGUAAGUCUGUCGUGAAAGCCCCGGGCUCAACCUGGGAAUUGCGAUGGAGACUGCAAGGCUUGAAUCUGGCAGAGGGGGGUAGAAUUCCACGUGUAGCAGUGAAAUGCGUAGAGAUGUGGAGGAACACCGAUGGCGAAGGCAGCCCCCUGGGUCAAGAUUGACGCUCAUGCACGAAAGCGUGGGGAGCAAACAGGAUUAGAUACCCUGGUAGUCCACGCCCUAAACGAUGUCUACUAGUUGUCGGGUUUUAAUUAACUUGGGAACGCACCUAACGCGUGAAGUAGACCGCCUGGGGAGUACGGUCGCAAGAUUAAACUCCAAGGAAUUGACGGGGACCCGCACAAACGGUGGAUGAAGGUGGAAGGUUACCUAGUUUACAACUUA